ACGGGCACGCGCGGACGCCCGUUCAGACGGCAACGUCCAAGUCCGC
rfam:Sphingomonas sp. LH128 Contig139, whole genome shotgun sequence.